rnacentral:rRNA from 1 species
CCUACGGGUGGCAGCAGUGGGGAAUAUUGCACAAUGGGCGCAAGCCUGAUGCAGCCAUGCCGCGUGUGUGAAGAAGGCCUUCGGGUUGUAAAGCACUUUCAGCGGGGAGGAAGGCGUUAAGGUUAAUAACCUUGGCGAUUGACGUUACCCGCAGAAGAAGCACCGGCUAACUCCGUGCCAGCAGCCGCGAUAAUACGGAGGGUGCAAGCGUUAAUCGGAAUUACUGGGCGUAAAGCGCACGCAGGCGGUCUGUCAAGUCGGAUGUGAAAUCCCCGGGCUCAACCUGGGAACUGCAUUCGAAACUGGCAGGCUAGAGUCUUGUAGAGGGGGGUAGAAUUCCAGGUGUAGCGGUGAAAUGCGUAGAGAUCUGGAGGAAUACCGGUGGCGAAGGCGGCCCCCUGGACAAAGACUGACGCUCAGGUGCGAAAGCGUGGGGAGCAAACAGGAUUAGAUACCCGAGUAGUC